rnacentral:rRNA from 1 species
AAGCUCGUAGUUGGAUUUCGGAAGGUCUUUAGUGGUCCGCCCCUUCGGGGAGCGGGUCACUGGCCUCCUAUGUUCCUAACGGUCCUCAUCCGCGAGGGUGGGGAAUCAACCGCUAGGAUCGUUUACUUUGAGGAAAUUAGAGUGUUCAAAGCAGGCGUAACUCGCCUCCGAAUACGUUAGCAUGGGAUAAUGGAAUACGACUUCGGUCUUGUUUCGUUGGUUUCGCUUGGCUGAAGUAAUGAUUGAUAGGGACAGUUGGGGGCAUUAGUAUUUAGUUGUCAGAGGUGAAAUUCUAGGAUUUACUAAAGACUGACCAAUGCGAAAGCAUUUGCCAAGGAUGUUUUCAUUAAUCAAGAACGAAAGUAGGGGGAUCGAAGACGAUCAGAUACCGUCGUAGUCUCUACCGUAAACUAUGCCGACCAGGGAUCCGGAGAGUUUGCAUGGAUGACUCCCCGGGCACCUUGUGAGAAAUCAUAAGUGUUUGGGUUUUGGGGGGAGGUAUGGUCGCAAGGCUGAAACUUAAA